UGGCCUAGUGCAAGAUCGACCUCAUAUCCC
rnacentral:piRNA from 1 species